GAUCAUGGCUCAGGAUGAACGCUAGCGACAGGCUUAACACAUGCAAGUCGAGGGGCAGCACGGGGUAGCAAUACCCCGGUGGCGACAGGCGCACGGGUGAGUAACACGUGUGCAACCAACCCCGUACCGGGAGAUAACCCGCGGAAACGUGGACUAACACCCCAUAAUACCUUUCCCCCGCAUGGGGGGGAGUUUAAAACCCCGGUGGUACGGGACGGGCACGCGCGACAUUAGGUAGUUGGCGGGGUAACGGCCCACCAAGCCGACGAUGUCUAGGGGUU
rnacentral:rRNA from 1 species